UAAUGAUGAUGGUGAUGAUUGUUGAUGAUGAAUGAUUAUGAUGGUGAUUGAUAAUGAUGGCAAUGAAUUUCAUCUCCAACAUUACCAUCACUGUCACCAUCAUCACUGAUU
rnacentral:miRNA from 1 species